GGCGGACGGGUUAGUAACGCGUGGGAACGUACCCUUCUCUAAGGAAUAGCCACUGGAAACGGUGAGUAAUACCUUAUACGCCCUUCGGGGGAAAGAUUUAUCGGAGAAGGAUCGGCCCGCGUUAGAUUAGGUAGUUGGUGGGGUAAUGGCCUACCAAGCCUACGAUCUAUAGCUGGUUUUAGAGGAUGAUCAGCAACACUGGGACUGAGACACGGCCCAGACUCCUACGGGAGGCAGCAGUGGGGAAUCUUGGACAAUGGGCGCAAGCCUGAUCCAGCCAUGCCGCGUGAGUGAUGAAGGCCUUAGGGUCGUAAAGCUCUUUCGCCUGUGAUGAUAAUGACAGUAGCAGGUAAAGAAACCCCGGCUAACUCCGUGCCAGCAGCCGCGGUAAUACGGAGGGGGUUAGCGUUGUUCGGAAUUACUGGGCGUAAAGCGCACGUAGGCGGAUUAGAAAGUUGGGGGUGAAAUCCCGGGGCUCAACCCCGGAACUGCCUCCAAAACUCCUAGUCUAGAGUUCGAGAGAGGUGAGUGGAAUUCCGAGUGUAGAGGUGAAAUUCGUAGAUAUUCGGAGGAACACCAGUGGCGAAGGCGGCUCACUGG
rnacentral:rRNA from 1 species